rfam:Hyphomicrobium denitrificans ATCC 51888, complete genome.
ACGCUUUCGUUCUGGCUCGCCAGUGAUUAUAUCUGAAGGGCUGGCUUGCCAGCUAUGGUGAUAAACGCGGUCGUAAUAAGCCGAUCGGACCCGGGGGCGGUACCCGGCGCCUCCACCACUUUCUCCUUACCGCGCUUCGCGGCCGGCUCCCCGGAGGGGAGUCGCGAAGCGCAAACAGGGAGUCUAUGGGGGCGAAAUAGGAUCGACGAAGGUCUAAAGGACUUAGCUUUUGCCCGGCAUGAUACCACCGUUAUCGGGUCACACAGAAUAGUUGCCAAUGACAACUAUGCUGAGGCCGCUCUCGCUGCGUAAUGCAGUGCGAAUAGCCUGAACUUGAAGCCCUUAUCCUUAGCCGGAUAAGGCGCGGUUCGGAGGGCACCGGGCAACAGAAGCCCUCCACU